rnacentral:lncRNA from 1 species
CUAACCACCCAAGUUCUCCCACCUUACUGCAACCGGAUCCAGCACCUGCUACAAAGCAUGUAAGGGUCUGUAGGGAAGUGAGGUGUCUAAGGUCAGCAGGCAUGGUCUUUAACUUUUCACAUCCGUGAGUGUAGAGGUGACGGAGGGCAGUCAUGUACUUCAUUCCCUUUGGAAGUCGUUCAAGAUUGUGACAGUCAGAAAGGUUCAAUGUUUGCAGAUGAUAUAGGAUGCUUAUAUCUUUAGGAAGUGAUUUAAUAUCAUAGCUUCCUGAGAGAUCAAGAUACCUCAGGUGAUGAAGACAUCUGGGUCCGAGGAAUGAAGCUCGGUUGAUCUUUAUCUUUAGUGCUCGCGGAGACAUGUACUUUGACAAAAGCUGCAAGUCUACGUAUACAUCUGCCUCACAUAUCAGUGUUUGUAUAACGUCAUUAUCUUUAUCUUUAUCUUUAACUUUAUCUUUAGUGCCUUUCUCCUGGGAAUCAUUCAGAAAAGUUUCUAACAAUAAUAAAUGACGAGGUGAAUGUGGAAAAUCCCCACUUUUACUUAGAGCAGCGCAUUCUUUUCCCAUAGAAUCUAGUGCAACGUCAUGCAUAAGGUCAUGGAUCUUACAAGUAACUCUAGAGACCUCUAUAUCAGUGAACUCAAAUGGGAUCCCCUUCACAUCAUGGAAAAAUGACCUUGACGCAAGCUCAAUGAAAAUAUUUUUACCUGAAAUUUCAGGAUGUUCUUCUCCUUGUAGCACUGGGAUAAAACCAUUAGCCAUCCAUAACUGGAUCAACAUUUCCACGUCAAUCUCAUAAUCCUUGGGAAACAUAGCACAGAAAGCAAAGCAUUGCCGCAUAUGUGAUGGCAAGCAAUUGUAACUAAGCUUGAGUACUGGUAAGAUUCCGUUUCUAUCAUCACAAAUCUUUUUUCUCCUUAGCACAUCCUUCCAUUCACGCGCGGUGGUCUUGGUACUUAACACAGAGCCCAAUGCUGUAGCAGCUAAAGGAGAACCAGCACAUCUCUUUGCAACAUCACCAACCAUGUUAACUAGUUCACGAGGCCAAUCCUUUUCUUGUUUUGAGCUGAAUGCUCUUGACUUGAUAAUUUCCUCUAUGAAAUUUUCACCCAAGCGUCCAAGUUCAUAGGCUCCUUCAGCUGUACCCAUCAUUAGUUUUGCAACUUCUUGAUCACGAGUUGUUGUCAACACUGAGCUGCCACUGCCACCAUGAAGGUAGGACUUCAGUUUUUCCCACUUGUGUGCCUCAUCACGGUUCCAGACAUCAUCCAGUACAAGGAGGUACCUCUUCCCACUCACUGCAUUUUGAAGCUUGUCCAAUGCUGAACUUCCAUUUGCAUGACAACCAUUCUUCUUAGCUUCUUUCGUUUCAAACUUCUUCUUAGCUUCUUCCACAAUUCUUUUAGCCAGAGUAUCCACAUCAAAGUUGUCAGAGACGCACACCCAUAGUCGCAGCUGGAAAUGCUUCUGAAUCUCAGGAUCAUUGUAAACAAGCUGGGCUAAGGUGGUCUUCCCCAUCCCUCCCAUCCCGACGAUAGGAAAGACAGUGAGCUUCACAUUGCUAGCUUUAUCAAGUAACGACUUAAUAAUCUUCUCCUUGUCUCCAGCUCUGGAUCUGCCGGCAAUGUCCACAGGGUCGAUGAUUUUAGAACUAUUCUCCCUCAAGUGAUUUACGGGCACUGGUGGCCCUGGUCGGAAUUUGAACCCGAAACAAUUCAUCUCUGCGAUAAGGACAUCAAGUUCUUCCAAAAUCAUGCGGAGCUUGUUGCCCAUCCUUUUACGGAACACAAAACGGUUGUGAGAAGGGAAGAGCUUUAUUACAUCCAUGCCGAGCUCCUUGUAGUGCCCCUCCUCCCUGGCUUUGCGGCGGAGCGCCUCGUACUUGAACUCGUCCAAGACGUCAUUCGCCUGGUAGGCCACUUGCCGGACCUCCUCCAGCCAAGCUUUCGCCCCUUCUCGCUUGGCUGCCGCCUGCUCCUCGGCGUCGGUGAUGACGUCCAGGAUGGCCGGCAGUUUGCGCUUGAGGAGCUUGUGCUGCUUCUCCAAGCCCUCCAUCACCUGGUACUGCUCCAGGAGGUAGCUGGAGGCCUUCUCCUUCACCAUGGACACCAGUGGCCCGACCACCAUGGUGGCCAGUACCUCAGCCAUCGGAACGCCUGGAGCUCGAUCAGAACACACGCGCAGGAUAGUGGACACAGGGAAACACAGUUGCAAGGUGGAGAGGGUGGCGAAGGUAGACGAUGGGUUUGAGAAGCAGCUUUUGGGGAAAAUGGAGACUGCCAGCAUGCAUUGACCUUGGAGGACCCAAUUGGGAUGGGUUUGAUUGGUUGCACUAAAUUACAGCAAUAUAGAAUGACGUUUGUACAGAUGUGUUCCAGCUGUCCUGAUAGGGAUCGAAGACCAUCCAUGUCGGAGCAUUAUUGCAAUUUGCAGACCAUCCAUGUGGGCGCAAUAAAAUUACAAACAAUAUAGAAUGACGUUUGUACAUAUGUGUUCCACUUGUACAUCUUGAUCUGCAACUCUUCAAACAACGAGAAGCCAGCUUGAGGUGCCGUAUCACUAACCGCAAGUAUUAGACAGAGCAGAAUCCAGAAGCUACAUGGUUAAUUAACAAUAACCUUGAUCAAUGUGGAGCAACCGGCGAUGAAGCAGGAGGUUGUUGCGGGCCAGAGCAAGAUAUAUAGGGGAAGGAGCAGUGCGUGGCUAUCCAACAACCUAAUGAUUCGAGGGGUGUUCCUCACGCACACCUAAACAACAGUGAAAGGGUUCUAACUUUAAAGCAUGCUUGAGACUAUGACCAAAAGUGAUGCAUGUGUAGAAACCACCGGGAUUAAGAAUUAGAGAUGAGAAGUAACUCGCAAGUUGAAAAUUUAGACUUCAUGAAUUAAUGACGUCGAAGGAGUUUGAGUACAUGUUACUAUGUUAGGCAUGCUUGGAUGCAGAAUUGCGGAUACUGAUACUCGAUGACGAGGACCUCGAGAGUCUACUGUGUAGCAGUGUGGUUACAUACUUACAUUAGCCUUCACUGCAAGACAUAAGAAAAAACCUCUUGCUACAAUUUUGUCAGAUCACCAGCAUUUUCAUCUGACUUGGCAAUUUAUGAUGAGAGAACCGUCAGGUGAAGCCUGUCGUUUUCAGCUGUAUGGAUGUAUGUCAUUGCGUUUACAAUCAUACUUGGAUGGGUGACUCUACUUCCUUCUGUCCAUACAACAACACUACAGCGUACGCUGAUCUGGACCGCGGGUUGAUUUGCGGAAAAGACAGGGGCUUAAGAGCAAAAGCGGCGCGGCGCGGCAUAGUUGACCGGUACGCGGCUGGAUUGACUUGCCGUGAGCCGUCGGAUCUUGAUCCGACGGUCGCGGUCGUCGAUGACUCGCGGCGGCGGCGGGAAAAGAACGGGCGGCGGCGGUGAGCGGCGGUGCGCGACGGCGAGCGGCGGCGGUUCGCCGGAGUUGGCCGAAACGGUGCUCCGGGGCACGGUUGGCGCGCGGAUUUCACCAGAAGCAAGAGGAGAACACGGCGAACUCGUUUUGGGGGUCCUUGACGACCGGAGCUCACCGGAGGCAGCGCUUGACGGCGGGGAAGCGGCGGCGGCGCGGGAGCUCGGGCGCUAGGGUUUCGGGUGCUGCGGGCGCUGGUGGAGGAGACCGGGAGGGGCGGCGGCUUAUAUAGGCGCUUGGAGAUAGAGGCGGCGCCCCGGGUUUGAACUCCCCGAAAGAGUCGGAGCGGAGGCGGGCGGUUGCGUGUUGGCAGCGCGGCGGUUGCGGGAGUCCCGGCCGGAUACGGCCGGAGGAGGGAGAUGACGGGUGGGGCCCACCCGUCAGCGGACGCGGGCGUAGGCGGGCUGGCGCAGCUGUUGGGCCGGCGCGCGGUUCGCGGGCCGCGCGGCAGAGGAGAGGCGCUGGGCCGGCCAAGGGUGGAGCAGGCCGAGCGGCGAGUCGCGCGGGGAAAAGGAGCUGGGCCGGAGAAGCUGCGGUGCAGCUGGGCCGCAAGGAGAAGAAGAGGAGGGGGCCGGCGGGCGGUGGAAAGGCCGGGGAGCUGCGGCUCGGCUGGGCCGAAAGAAAGAAGAAAGAAGAAGAAGGAGAGAUGCGGCCCAGGUGGAGAAGAGGAAAAAGAAAGAGAAAGAGAAAAAGGAAAUGGUUUUGGAAAUUUGAAUUUAAAUUUGGAAAUUCAAAUUUUGAUUCAAACUCAAGCAAUCAAAAUAAAUGCACCAGCAUGAAUGCACAAUUAACUCCUAUGAUGAAUUUAAUUAAAUUAAAGAAAAUGAAUUUAAAUGCCUAGAAUUUAAAUGCACCCUAAUUUGAGCAAAUUUUAAUGAAUUUGAAUUGUUUAAAAUUUUGGGUGUUACACGCGCCGGGCUCGCCACCCGGGGAGCUGCGGCGGCUGGAGGUCGCCGGCUGGUGCUUCAUCCGAUUGUGCAUUUAUAAUCUUUCUUUUUAUCAUUUUGUAUCACAUUUUGAAUUUAUUUAAUGGACCUUAAUUUUGAACUACAUUUUUAACAUGGAAAUCUAUAUCCUCAUCACUUCCUUUAUAUAUCAUUAUAUUUAUAAAUGAUGACCCAAAUCAUGCGUAUAUAUUUUAAUUAUUAUUUUUUAUACUUAUAGUGUAAGAAAUAGACAAUUUAUACUAAGCGGUUAUUUUAAGUUAGUUUUUAUAAUGACAUAGGUGCUGAUUAUUAAUUGUUUAUUUCUUACUCUGUUAUUGGUAUAGAAAAUAAUAAUUAAGGUAUAUAUAUUCGUGAAAGGUGUCACCAUUUAUAAAUAUAUAAAGGAAGUGAAGAGAAUAUAGAUUUCCAUGUUAAAAUUAUAGUUGAAACUUAGAGUCCAUUAAAUAAAUUUAAACGCAUACUCGUGAUGUCAAGUGAAAAUGAAAGAUUAUAAAUGUGGAUGAAAACGUUACAUAGGAAUUACUAAGUAAUGUCUAUCACAAUAGGAUGAAGAUAAUAAUGUAUUUAUAUAUAAGUAUUGUAUUAGAAUAUUUAACAAAUGAGAGAGACCUCAAGGUAAGUUUGAAUUGUUAGCUAUGUUCCCUCAUUUUUUUUUCAAUCGGAGACUCAUCAUUAAUUCUCAAGAAACGUGCUAGGAAAAAAGGAUAAAUCAUAGAAAGUCUCGCAAAAAUUAGAAACAUCCGGCACCAAUCCUAUAAACUCUAAUAAUCAUAACUAUCCGUAUUAUCUUUGAUUACACAUUACUAUCAUUAUAAAAAUAUUCUAAAGUAAGCCUCUAAACCUAUAUCUAAAUUACCCAUCUCGGUUAUUAUAAAAAAAUAAUCUAAAGUAACCAAAUAAUCUUCAUCUAAAUUAUCCAUAUAUAUCGUUAUUAAAAAUAACCUAAUAUAAACACUUAAAUCAUAAUCUAAUUAUCUAAAUUAUCCAUAUAUAUCGUUAUUAAAAAUAACCUAAUAUAAACACUUAAAUCAUAAUCUAAUUAUCUAAAUUAUCAUUAUACAAAAAUAUUCAAAAGUAAAUCAAUAUAUGAUUAUAAAUUACCCAUUUUUAUUAUUGUAGAAACUAGUUAAGUAUAUAUGCAUGAUGGGUGUCACCAUUUAGACCGUUUAUACAUGUAUGGGAUGAAGCAAUGAAAAAGACUGAUUCUCAUGUCAAACAGGGUGUGAUUCAAAUUGAAAAAAAAAGUAUGAAUGUGAGGAAAAAGUAUAUAAAGUAAUUAUUAAUGAAAGUAAAAUCGGAUAAAGAUAAGUAUAUCUAUAUAAGAGUAUUGUGUUAGAAUAUUAAAUAAAUGAGAGAGGGAAGGUAAAUAAUUUUGAUGAUUAGUCAGGAGGUCUAAUUUUUAAAUAAUUUUUUAAUACAAUAAUUUUUGAAAUUAUUAGUCGCCCCAGCGGGGAGCACAGGUUGAUAAACUAGUGGUGCUAAUUAGGGGCUUACAUGCCUGUAUUUUUUUAAGUGGGUAGAGUAGCUCCCAUAAAGCUCAGGUCAUCUGUUCAAUCUUCCUUCCUUUCGUAUUUUAGCACCAACCAAGCAAGCAGUUACUGGAAAUCUGGAAAUCAAUUGGGACGUCCAACAAAGCACUCGGUUGUGUAUGUAGUCUUAUGGGUCGGGUAUGAGCAGGGUUACUUGCCCCGAUCAGAUUUAAGCCAUAGCCAACACUUUCCCGUUCUAAAUUAUGUAUUGUUUUAGUUUCUAUACUAUAUAUUUAGAUUUAUGUUAUAACUAAAUUUAUAUGUAUCUGAAAAAGUUAAAAUGACUAUAAUUGAACGAAGGAAGCACUGGGUGUAACUUUUUCCACUGCCUAAGACGUGAUAAAUGGUCCAGUCUAGACUGUAGAGACAGACUAGUACCUAUCGAAGCUCCUAAUUCUCUUAUUAUUCCAAUCAAAGUUAAUAAAAUGUGAUGUAGGCGGACAUCGAUGAGGGUGACUUUUCCUGAUUAUCACGUCGAGUCUGAAUUCUUCACUGAUCGAUCCAUGUCGCAGAGAGCGGAGGCGGUACGCUUCGAACUGCAGCACGCGCGCCGCAACUACGCGGACGGAGAAGAAGAGAAUAUAGUGCAACAAUGAACAAUCAAACCGCUGGACGUGAAAAGUCUACGACGCGACCAUCAAUCCCCGGCGAGCCACGCCGCCGCGGUCUUCGUUCGGCAACACUGACCCCUUGCUGGCCGUGUUGCCGCGUGCCACGAGAUACCCAGCCUCACGCAAACACGCACGAUCACACACACACACACAAACGAAAACGAAAAGGGGAAAGCUCUCGAUCGAUCUCCAUGGACUCCAAGGAUGGCGCCGCCGCAGCGUCCGGUGAGGGUAGUAGGCUGCGCCGUAUCAUCGCAGGCGCCGGUCCAGUUCCUGCCCGUCGCCGGCCAGCUUGCGCUGUCGUUCUACGGCGUGCGCGAGGAGCCCCAGCGGCUGCAGCUGCUGGCCUCCAUCGCCCUCUGCUACGCGGCGGCCGUGGCGCUCGCGUUGUUCACCAGGCGGCUGGAUGCCUCUCCUGCUGUUCCUGGCGUCCCAUCGCCGUACCAAAAUGGCUUCUAAUUACCAAGUCCUCCAUGCCCACCAUUUUGCUCUUGGCAUUCAUAUGGAUAUGAACCUGCUACUGGAUCGAGGUGCCAUGAUCCUGCCGAGAAUCAGUUCAGAUCAAUUCCUGGUGCAACUAUAAUUAGUGAUCUGAUACGGUAUGCAUUUCUAGUGUGGCUGCUGUUUGAGCCCUGUUUCAAUAUAUAAUUGAACUAGUGCUGGCGGAUUUAGUUGGAAGUUUUACGAGUGGGUGUUGAUAUGUUCCAAAUAAGAUGCAGGUGGAUUUAGCAGUUCCAACAACUCAAGCCCAUAUUUCACCAAUAAGAGUUUAAACUGGGCCUUUUCAGGCCCAAUGGCAAAAGAGCAGCUGACGAGUGACGAUUUUUAUUCAAAUGAGAUGCAAUCCGGUCGCAAAGAACUCCUCGUUCAAAUGAUAUGGAUAUGGAGAUCAACAAUUUGUUUUGGAUGUAUAAAGAUCAAUAAUUUGUCCGACACUAUUGUAUCCAAACUAUCGCUCUCAAGAUUAGUACAGCACGUCACAGAAUCUUUAUCCAUGAUUUGUCACAGAAUGCGGCUCCUUUGUUAACUGCGGCAGCGUAGACAAACAGACGUGCAACUCUGAAAGAUCAAACGAUUGGAUAAACAACUCUGGCCCUCGUCGCCCUUGCCUACGCGGCCGUCGCCGCACUCGUGUGGUUCAGCAGGGGGCUCCCCGCCGACGGCAGCACGCACUGGAAGAAGCUGGCGGCCACAGGCGUCGGCGGCGUUCUGGCAUACUGCACCAACCCUACGGUGCCGUGCGGUCUGUUCCUAUUCAUAUACAUACUCUGAUGAGUAGUACAAUCUGCCGGCGUUGCCAUGAUCCAAGGAAUUUAAGUCUACUAGGGGCGUCAAUUGCUUGGGGCCUGUUUUGGACACAAUAAUUUUGUAGUAAGAUUUUCGCAGGAAUCUCACAAGCAUAUGUUCAGUUUUACAUGAAUUAGGAUUUACGAGUUUAGUGAUAGUCUGCUCCUUUCUGAUUGUCCCUGUGCCUGCUCUUUUCUGCAUGAUUAGUUGGCUGCUCUGUUUUCGGAUUUAUUGGAAGCUGAAGUCUUUUGGUUGAUGCACUUUAGUGAUAUGUGUUCUUUAUGCACUUUAGUUUUCAACACCCUGCUGUAGGAUGCAGUUUGCCAUGCCCAGCAUAUAUUUAUCGAAAUGACAAGCCUCCAAAACUUUGCGUAACGUGCGUUGCAAAUGAAGGCUUAUGGUAAUGUUAGCUGUCUGGUGCACUAAGUAUGUGUGGGUACUAAUCACCCUCUGCUUUAUUUCACCAUGCUAGAAUUGCAGACCAUGUGCCUUGGCGGAUCACCGGCCGGUGCCUUUCCUGGCUCUUCUCAGUCAUGCAGCUAUUUGCAUUGACCUUUUUGUCCUGGCGCUUCCAGGACGACUUUGUUGUCUUUACAAAUAAAUUGUUCUCAGGACCAAUUUCUUAUGGCUCAUGGUAUCGUUAAUUCGUUAUGGACCAUGACGCAGCAUCGCUGAUUUUGUAACUCUGAAUUCUGUAUUGUAGGGAAGUUAGUUACAGAAUAACUUUCUCACCAUUUUUUUUCAUGUAAAAUGAUGAUCUCCGAACUAAUUUCUUAUAAUUCAUCGCAAUCACCGUUCUUUUCAAUUUCAUUGGAGACUUAACAGGGGAAAAGACGCUGCAAGAGAAACAAGACUUAACAAUAAAACUUAUGCACAAGAUUGGACUAUACGAAGACUUGCAGGAUCGCCCUGCACACCAUUCAGUAUUAGAUACACACAUGGAAUGAAGUUCAUCACAUUCAGUGCAUUUCAAUCAGCAGCUUAAAAUAGCUUGUCGAACAACAAGUAUCUUCUGUAGUCAUGUAGAAAAACACAUCCUUACAUCCAGUGUUGGUUGUGUUUCACUUAUGCUGGAGCGCACACCUAUUCAAACACGUCACACUUGAAAAAAACAAAGAAGGAUUAAAAACUGGAGCAUGCAUCUCUGUAUGCUAAAUUCUUCCGUUUGCAGUCUGGCAUUUGUUUUAUGCUCAAAAUCAAGUCCUUCAGCUUGACUUCACUGGUGAUAAUCUUCAGAAAGGGCAAAUGUAUCUCAGUCACAAUAAUCCAUCAUUUGCAGCCCUGGCAACAAUCCUACAAAGAUGUCAAACACAGGAGUCACCAUUACAAGCUAGUGUCAUACAAAAUCAAUCAUCAGGCACAUGAAUAUUACGAACCAUGGUAAUUACUUUCAUCAGGUCUUCAAUCUACUAUUUCAAGCAUGCCAGCCGCCUCCUAAUUGAAUAUUCCCAUCCUAGCAGGUCAGGUCGUGAUCAUAGAUGGUGUCAGAAGUUAUGCAUGCAAAUCAACACCAAAUUGGAAAGUAUAUAUACAGGAGAAUGACUGUAUACGGCAUCUACAAGCAAAAAAUAUGUUAUAUGUAAAAAGGCAUCAGGCAUUUAAACAAAAUUACACAUAUUCAAACCUUAUGUCAUGGAGCUAGUGAAUUUCGAGAAAAAACGUUAAGACAACUAACAGGGAAAAUAAUCACAGAGAGCAGUCAGCUGUAGCAUACAGUAUUGGUUCAAAAUGACAGGAAAAAUAAAUUCAUCAGCCACUUGGAUUAGAACUAAUAUAGUUUGGCUGCAGUAAUUCCAUCAUGCCACACUUUAAUAUGUUAGUAAAGGAAGUUUGACUGAUUAUACGUGAUUUGAAUUAGCUUUUACAACCGAGGUAACAAGGACGGCAAAGAUCAUCUGAUAACUAAAUUCCUUUGAGGGACAAGAGAAGAGAUGCACAAGGAUGACUACACUAAAGUGCAUCAUUAAUUUCUGCCUACACUUGUUGACUGAAUUUUACUAGAGGUUCUAAACACCGUUAAAACUUUUUAAUCACUAAAUUGUACUACCACAUCUUGUCGUAACUACUAGUAUGCUUAUUAAGUCAAUAGUUGCUUUUUUGCCAAAACACCAAUUGAAUUCCUGGUCACUUUAUUAAAAGAAAUGGAAAAAAAAAAGACCGGAGGUUACCUUCGUAACGGACAUCUAGUGUUUUCUCCUCGAGAUAAUCCAGACGUUGUUGUAGGCUCGGGGGAAGUAACUUUAUACUAGGACAAGAUUCAAUCCUAAGAGCUCUAAGAUCUGAGUACGCUUGAGGCCCAUUCGGUAAGGAUUGCAGGCUUCUGCAAUCACGAAGGCGGAGGUCUUCCAGCGACGGGAGCCUUCCUAAGCAAGAUUCCAGUGAUUUCAAUUUACUGCAGUCCGCAAUACGUAAUGUUUGGAGGGCAUCCAGCUGUCCUGAUAGGGAUCGAAGAUUAUCGCAGCCAUGAAUCGACAAGAUCUUGAUGGACGGAGGAAGAUUGGCAACCUCUGACAAACCAGGGCAAUACAAUAUGUAUAGCGAUUCUAGGCAUGGAAGGAAGGGAUGGCUGGUUGAUGAUGACAACUUUAGUACAGCUGUAGACACCCUGGCCUCACUGCUGGAUGCCGGAAUUAGUGAUGACGUAUCCUCCUGUUGACCGAAUAUGAUGGACCCGAGCAUAUCGCAGUUUUCAAUAUGUAAUGUCUUGAGAGAUGCUGGUAGGUUGGGAACCUCUACCAAAGAUGGACAGAAACUUAACUGUAGAGACUCUAGACAUGGCAGGAGUCCACUCCGUUCCGGAGCAGAUUGCUCAGACGUUUCUUGUGUGCGUCCAGUCAGUUUGCUGCAUUGCCAAAUAUAUAACGUCCUCAAGGAUAACAGGGCCUGGAACACGUUUUCUGGCCAAUAGACAAGAGCGUCGCAUUCACAAAUUUUUAAAUCUACGAGCUGUGCAAAACAUGUCCAUAGUGGCAGUGCACUUGAGUGGGAGAACAAAAGGUUGUAUCUCCGUAAAACCAUACGUGUCAGAGGGGAUCUAUGCUCCCAUUUCUCCCUGCCAUGCACCAACUCACUCGAAUUUUGUUCAGCCACCGAUUCUGUUUCUGUGUUAUCGCCAAACAACCUCAGGCUGGACGAUGAAGUGAUAUAUCUGCUAGCUGCGUGCAGGGACAAUAUUUGUUGGCUGGCUCCUUGUACUUCUAAUACACUUAGCUUAGGUGCUUCGGGUAGAGUAGUCAACGCUGGGCAACUCCGAAUUAUUAGUUUCUCAAGCCGAUGAAAUGUUAGCUCUUCUCCUGGAGUUCCUUCGCCAUCCUCCCAUCGCUGAAACAUCUCAAGAUUUUCUAAUUCCAUUUCCUUCAAUGCUGGAAAUGCAGACUUGUACUCAGUCUUGACCCCUUCAGAUGUUUCUUUAAUUACUGAUGCUUUCGGCAAUGCAGCCAGACUUUUACACUCGUUGAUUAACAGCUUCUCAAGCAGAGGAAACAUUGGCAUUUCUCCUCGCACCUCACUUGUGCCCCACCAUAUCUCAAAGUUUGGCAACUUAAAAAUUGCAAGGUUCUUCAGUUUCUGAAAUGUGAAGGCUGUAUCACUGCUGCACAAGUAACGUAUGUUUUCCAAUCCGCACAAGCAAAGAAUUUGCAGAGCUGGUAACUGCCAGAAUGCAGGAAGAUUCUCGAGUCUUUUGCAAUCCGAUAACUCAAGCUCCACUAUGCCUUGCAACUUAUUCAUCCAUGUUGGACAAGUGUCGAUACCGCAGGAAUAUAUCUUUAGAACCUUCAGCCCAUCAUGAGGCUCCAGACCUUCCAGCACCUCUUUAUCACUAUUAUGUGCCUCCUUGUCACAAUCACUCCAUCUCAAUGUCAAUCUGGCCAGUUUUUUCUUAUUUCCGAGUUUUGCCUCUUUUGCAUCUGCCUCUUUCACAUUUUCUAGCUGUUUUAGCUCCAGCUGACCACCAAGGUCGUCUAACCGCCUCAGUUCUCCCACCCUACUGCAAUCAGAGCCUGCACCUGCUACAAAGCAUGUCAGCGUCUGUAGGGAAGUGAGGUGUCUGAGGUCAGCAGGCAUGCUCUUUAACUUCAAACAUCCGUGAGUGUAGAGGUGACGGAGGGCAGUCAUGUACUUCAUUCCCUUUGGAAGUCGUUCAAGAUUGUGACAGUGAAAAAGGUUCAAUGUUUGCAGAUGAUAUAGGACGCUUAUAUCUUCAGGAAGUGAUUUAAUUUUAUAGCUUUCUGAGAGAUCAAGAUACCUCAGGUGAUGUAGCCAUACGGGUUCUAAACCUCGCAUGGUCCUUGAUGUUGAACCUCCCAUGAUCUUUAAUGCUCGCACAGACCUGUAUUUUGACAAAUGUUGCAAGUCUCCGUAUAUAUAUUUCUCACAUAUCAGUGUUUGUAUAACCGGAGAGCCUUUCUCCUGCGAAGCAUUCAGAAAAGUUUCUGUUUUACGGACUGACAAUAAUAAAUGACGAGCUGAAUGUGGAAAAUCCCCACUUUUACUCUGGUCUGUAGCUAUAGCAGCGCAUUCUUUUCCCAUAGAAUCCAAUGCAACGUCAUGCAUAAGGUCAUGGAUCUUACAAGUAACUCUAGAGACCUCUACAUCAGUGAACUCAAAUGGGAUCCCCUUCACAUCCUGGAAAAAUGACCUUGACGCAAGCUCAAUGAAAAUAUUUUUACCUGAAAUUUCAGGAUGUUCUUCUCCUUGUAGCACCGGGAUAAAACCAUUGGCUAUCCAUAACUGGAUCAACAUUUCCACGUUAAUCUCAUAAUCCUUGGGAAACAUAGCACAGAAAGCAAAGCAUUGCCGCAUAUGUGAUGGCAAGCAAUUGUAACUAAGCUUGAGUACUGGUAAGAUUCCAUUUCUAUCAUCACAAAUCUUUUUUCUCCUUAGCACAUCCUUCCAUUCACGCGCGGUGGUCUUGGUACUUAACACAGAGCCCAAUGCUGUAGCAGCUAAAGGAGAACCAGCACAUCUCUUUGCAACCUCACCAACCAUUUUAACUAGUUCACGAGGCCAAUCCUUUUCUUGUUUUGAGUUGAAUGCUCUUGACUCAAUAAUUUCCUUUAUGAAAUUUUCAUCCAAGCGUCCAAGUUCAUAGGCUCCUUUAGCUGUACCCAUCAUUAGCUGAGCAACUGCUUGAUCACGAGUUGUUGUCAACACUGAGCAUCCACUGCCACCAUGUUGAAGGUAGGACUUCAGUUUUUCCCACUUGUGGGCCUCAUCACGGUUCCAGACAUCAUCUAGUACAAGGAGGUACCGCUUGCCACUCACUGCACUUUGAAGCUUGUCCAAUGCUGAACUUCCAUUUGCUUGGCAACCAUUCUUCUCAGCUUCUUCGACAAUUCUUUUAGCCAGGGUAUCCACAUCAAAGUUGUCAGAGACGCACACCCAGAGUCGCAACUGGAAAUGCUUCUGAAUCUCAGGGUCAUUGUAAACAAGCUGUGCUAAGGUGGUCUUCCCCAUCCCUCCCAUCCCGACGAUAGGAAAGACCGUGAGAUUCACAUAGCUAGCUUUAUCAAGCAACAACUUAAUAAUCUUCUCCUUGUCUCCAGCUCUGGAUCUGCCGGCAAUGUCCACAGGGUCGAUGAUUUUAGAACUAUUCUCCCUCAAGUGAUUUACUGGAACUGGUGGCCCUUGCUGGAACUUGAACCCGAAACAAUUCAUCUCUGCGAUAAGGACAUCAAGUUCUUCCAAAAUCAUGCGGAGCUUGUUGCCCAUCUUUUUACGGAACACAAAACGGUUGUGAGAAGGGAAGAGCUUUAUUACAUCCAUGCCGAGCUCCUUGUAGUGCCCCUCCUCCCUGGCUUUGCGGCGGAGCGCCUCGUACUUGAACUCGUCCAAGACGUCAUUCGCCUGGUAGGCCACUUGCCGGACCUCCUCCAGCCAAGCUUUCACCCCUUCUCGCUUGGCUGCCGCCUUCUCCUCGGCGUCGGUGAUGACGUCCAGGAUGGCCGGCAGCUUGCGCUUGAGGAGCUUGUGCUGCUUCUCCAAGCCCUCCAUCACCUGGUACUGCUCCAGGAGGUAGCUGGAGGCCUUCUCCUUCACCAUGGACACCAGUGGCCCGACCACCAUGGUGGCCAGUACCUCAGCCAUCGGAAUGCCUGGAUCUCAGAACACACGCGUAGGGGACACAGUCACACAGGGAAACACACAGUUGCAAAGUGGAGAGGAAAAACACGGGAGCCAGCUAAUAAAGCAUCUCGAGGCCAGCCAAUAAAGCAUCUCGAGGCCAGUACUGCAAAUAUGUGAAAAUUGAUGACAAGAAUAAUUCGUCCAUAUAAAGUUGACUGCACAAAGGAACGUACCUGUCCCUUUUCAGCAAAAAGCACAAGAUUCUUUUCUCCAUUUGCCAUAACAACAAAAACGUUUUGGCAUGGAUGCCAGAAUCACCUGCUAAAUAAGUUUUAACUUCAAGAUUCCAACAGUAUGGUAGAAAACAGGUAAAUACGUUGCCUAACCUCUUGGAUUACCCCUAAUUUGUCAAACUCUUCUUUACUGAUUAUCGCGGUGACCUCUGUUGAUAUAAAAAACACCAAGAGCUGUUAGUAAACAGUGGUAGAAUUAGACGGCUAGGGUUUGGCCGGAGUCGGGUUGUGGGGGCAGGACGACCCAGAGGAGCAGGAGGAAGGACGGGUGCGCAUCGCUGGAACUGCCGGUGGCGCGGGGAAGGAUAGGAGAGUGGCAGCGACGACGAGCGGCGCGGUAUUGGAGGGAGGCGGCCGUUCAGAAGAGGGAGGGGAGAGAGAGACCGAACGAGAAUGGGAGGACGGCGGCAGGCCAAGGAUGGUGACGCGGCGCAGGCAUUGAGCGGCGCGGGGUUCCUUGCAAAUGUAGUGGUGGGUUGUUUUCUACAAAAGCAACACACGAAAUCGGAAUUUUCUCUUCUUGGUGUCGAAAUAUUUCGGAACCCAGGAGGCACGGCGCAAAGAAAUCGAACGUGUUUACUGUAGCGCGGGAGCCUGCGCGGAUCUUUUCCACGAUUAUAGAAAAGGUGAAGGGUUUUUUGCAAAAUUGUGUGCGCCCGUGGCAGCCUCUGGACCACACGAUCGGCCACGAUCCAACGGCCGCGAAAAAGAGCGCCGUGGCCCGGCUGGUUGAGCCCCGCUGGACCCCAGAAUAAGAGGUCUUGAUUAGUACUAUCCUUUUCAGAGUAAUAUAUCAGUGUCCUUUUCAGAGUAGUAAUGUUCUUUUCCCUGUAUUGUUUGUCCAAGAAAUAAGGCACGUAUUUAUUUUUGGUUCAUGACAAGGAAAAGUGACACUGGUGCCUAUACUUUUUUACACCUGACAAAUUCCAGUGCUCUCAAUGUCAAGUAGACAAAAGACGGAUACACAACCUUCUGUUCAUAUUAUUGCAAACUGUUUCACUGACAGCCUGAAAUCCUUCCUACUCUUUUCUUUUUCCAGGUUACAUACUAGCCUUUUGAUGGUAUUAUUAUGAUUUGUUGCUACCUGAGUUUGGUGAUUAUAUUCGCUGCACAAUUGACAUUUUCACCUCUCUUGCUACAAAACUCUUCGAGGUAUAUUGUUUUAGCUCACUUAGAAGAAACAACGGCUAUUAUUAUUUCCAAACACUAUAAAUUUCUCUUGUAAUAUUAUUGUUGUUUCUAUAAUCUUAGCCAAACUUCAAAUAUAUAGUUUGACUUGGAACAAAUCUAAAAAUCCUCAUAUUCGUUACAUAGGAAAAAUCCAUAUAUUUGUCACAUUUAACGGUCUAUUCCCCUAAUAAGCAUUAAAGAAAUAAGCAAGCGCCAACACCAAACAAAAACAAAGCCCUAAGUUAAAGAAAUACUAUAAACAAGCGCUAAAACCAAAGAAAAAAACAAAACCAGCCAAAAGUAUUACAAUGCCAAUCAGACCAGACCUAACCCAUCACGGGAAUGACCAGUCAAACCAGCCGAUUUGACCGCAAGGGCCAGUAGGGAGAACUCAAAUUCCAAAGAGAUUUGACCGCAAGGCACCGGAUCGGUAAUCGACCCCGCCUUUGUAGUAACGCCCGUUCCCCGUGCUAUCGGCCGUCGGCCCCGCCUCUGCGUCCUGUGGUGCCCGCCCGGACUGGUUCGUCUCCUCUCUCUCGUUCGUAUUUUUUAGACGAAUUGGGCAGAAGAGCUGCCGAUUAUAUUAAAAGAAAAUAUUCAAAUUGGCAGUAUAAUAAUAAAUAUACACCGGCGGGUUGGAUUGAGACAUCAACACGAGCCGCACAACUCAUCCUUCUUCACUCUCUCAAGUUUUUACUCUCCCUACUUCGUCCUAUACAACGAAUCGACAUUUUAGCUUAGGAAACUUUCAUUUGAUCCGUGGAUCUUGAAGAGCAAGGUAUCUUCUCUCCCUCGUAGCUUUUUUUCACAUCGAUUCACUAUAUAUUAGUUGCAUUUUUUUAACUUAGGGUUUCAUGCAAAUGUAGGAUGCCGAGGCGUGGAAAAGCUAGGAAACUAAGGUAACCCCAGCGCAUGUAGUUAUGUUAUGUGCUCAUUGUUGUGGAUCAAAUGAAAAACCUUAAUUGUAGGUUUAUUAUUAAGUGUGUUUGGUUCUUACAACAAAAUAAACUAAAUUGUAGUUAUGGCACCAAGCUGACCGGAAAUGCCUUCGAUCCAUUGCCUCUGCCUAGUGGUGUUCCAGUGCCUAUGUGCUUUUGCGGCGAUCCUUGUAAGGUAGCCAAGUCCGAUGAACAUGAUAUGUAUAGGCAGAGGUAUUUGAUGUGUUCCAACUUUGCGUUUGAACCUACACUUCGUAAGUGCCGCAUUAACAAGUUGGUAAGGAAUUGUUGUUGUCUUAUAAUUAUUGUCCAUAUUUUUUUAUAACAAUGCAUUUGUUGUAGACCCCUCCACCGCUAUGUGAUUUUGAGCAGUGGAUCGACACUGAGGUCAAUCCUGAAGACAAGAAGUUUUUGGAGUAUAUGUUGCGCUGGGAUGCAGAGAGGAAGGAGAUGAUGGAGAAGAGGCUCAGAGAGGAGGCUGCGGAAAAGGAGCACAAGGAAGAGGAGGAAAGGAGGCGUGUUGCUGCGAACAUUGAGGAGAGGGAGAAGAAGCUUGAGCGUGCACGCCGAGCGAAAGCAGCGAUUGAGAAGGAUCCCGAUGCCUUGAGGAAGGGAAAGUGACCUCGUUGCACUCAAUAGUCAUAAUUAGUUUCUAGUUCUAUGAUUUAUUUAUGAAUAAUAUUUUGUACUGUGAGACUUUUAUUAUGUUGUCAUGUAAUGAUGCACUUUAAGUAUGAACAUGCAACUGGUAGAUGACCUAUGUUUAUUUUGCGAUGUAAUGCACUUCAAAGUUGUACUCUAGUAAAAUUUCCGCAGAAAAUAAAAAGGGUACUUGUUAGUGAAAUUUCGUCUACUUUUUAAUGCAAUCCAUACAAAAUUACGAGAUGAAUAGUGAACAUAAAUACAAACAUACAAGCAUAUGACACAUUCAUAAUAAAAUUCACAGUAGUUCAGAAUGAAAGUCCAUAUACACAAAUAGUUCAUAUAACACAAAGUCCAUAUACCACAUAGUUCGCAAUAAGUACCCUCAGUGCCUCCUAGUCUUACCCUUACCUUGUGACCAAGGGUGUCGGUGCCUAAAGUGUAAGGAGAACGUGGUUCCUAGAGUGUAAGGAGAACGUGGGCGACGUAGUCUAGUGCCUACAACCUGUGUAGGCUGAGUCAAGGGAACCUCGUGGAGCUGAGACGGGCCAAGCUCCUCGGGCCUCUGGUCAUCAUCGUCGUCAUCGUCCUCAUCCUCGGAUGCAAUUGCUUUCGACCCUGAGGGGCCUUGCCUAGACGUACCAAUGCCUCCUUCGCGUGGGGAUGGAACGUGCACGUCUCGCGUCGUGGCAGUCCUGCAACCACAACGAGCAGCCGCACGGCGAAGCCGACUUGACAGUCGCUGUUGUGAAAAAACUAGUUAAACGAAAGAAGGUACCGUAUUAAUAAAGUAUUUGAAAGAACAAUUUGAGUCUUACAUCUAGAAAACUUCACGUCUCGGGGUCCGUAACUCUAGGACGAAAAUGCUCAAUAUCUCUAACCGAGCUUUGGAGCGUACGCCCUGCAACAAAUUUUUAGAAGUCAGUAGUCACUAAAGCAAUAAAUGAUUAAGUCAUUAACUUACUUACACACUAAGUCACUAAAUGACUAAAUCAUUAAGUCACAACCUCGCACUGCAUGGCAACAAACUUAACACAUCCAUAGUCAUCCCUUUCCACGGUGCCUCCAUGAUAUAUGCUCACUACGUUCUCCAUCUAGUACAUCAAUAUAACAAUGCACAAUUCAUUUAGUCCAUAAUAAAUGAAGCAUUCUAACUAUAUCAUACAACUAACUAACUAUGUCACCUAAUAUGUACCUAUGUACUUAACUAUACAACUACUUAACUAAAUAUCGUAAUAACUAGUUUACUAUUUAACUAACUAUACAUCUAACUACGUAAACAAAAUUGCACAUCCAUCUAGUUAAAUAGUGUCAUGAGUAUUCUCUAUUCCUUCUACCAUUGCAAUUCAUAAAAAAAAACUACCAAAAUAAAUUAGUUUUCAUAUCUAACAAUUCUACCAAACUAUUCUAAUUUAUCUAUCUAACUAUUUUAUCUAUUCUACCUACCUAUCUAAAUUCUACCUAACAAUCUAAAUUCUAGUUAACUAUAACUCUUCUUAGAGUUUUACCUGAGUCGUUCGCACCGACGGGAAAAGCUGGGGCAGGCGCCGGGCGGAGGGCCACCGGCGGGGAUGGCUGCGGGCGCGGGGGCCCAAGCGGGGCGGCCGCGGGGGCUUGGCCGGAGGGGGCACACCGGCGGGGGCGGGCGCGGGCGCCACGUAGGGCGGGCGCGGGAGCCGGCUGGGGGCGGGGGCGGGCGGGGCGGCUGCAACGAGACACGACGGCGGCGGCGGCGCGAGUUUGAACGACGAGUUUGAUCGAAGGAAGAAAGCAAGGGACGCACAAAAGGGAGGGAAGAAAGCCAAGGCUUGGCGCCAAGAUCGUUGGUGCCAAGAUCUGUGGCGCCAAGCCUUCGCGCCUGUCGCCACGUAAUCCACGCCACGCCACAGGGGCACGCCAUGCCACGGGGGCACGCCAUGUCGGGGACCUUAGCGCCAAGACGUUGUAUGCUGGCGUCAAGCUAAAGGUCCAUUUUUUGAAUUGGUUCCAUCAGGGGUCUAUUUGUGAAAUUUUUUCGCGAAAAAAGCUAAAAUAAAAAAAAGUCGGAUAGUUCAAGGAUGAAAAAUCAAACUGCUGGACGUGAAAAGUCUACGACGGGACGAUCAAUCUCCGGCGAGCCACGCCGCCGCGUUCUUCGUUCGGCAACACUGACCCCUUGGUGGCCGUGUUGCCGCGUGCGACGAGAUACCCAGCCUCACGCAAACAUGCACGAUCACACACACACAAACGAAAACGAAAAGGGGAAAGCUCUCGAUCGAUCUCCAUGGACUCCAAGGAUGGCGCCGCCGCAGCGUCCGGUGAGGGUAGCACAGGCUGCGCCGUAUCUUCCAUCAGGCGCCGGUCCAGUUCCUGCCCGUCGCCGGCAAACUCGCGCUGUCGUUCUACGGCGUGCGCGAGGAGCCCCGGCGGCUGCAGCUGCUGGCCUCCAUCGCCCUCUGCUACGCGGCGGCCGUGGCGCUCGCGUUAUUCGCCAGACAGCUGGAUGCCUAUCCUGCUGUAAAUAAUCCAUCAUUUGCAGUCCUGGCAACGAUCCUACAAAUUAAAGAAGUCAAACACGGGAGUCAGCAUUAAUUAGAAGCUAGUGUCAUACAAAAUCAAUCAUCAGGCACACCAAUAUUACGAACCAGGGUAAUAACUUUCAUCAGGUCUUCAAUCUGCUAUUUCAAGCAUGCCAGCCGCCUCCUAAUUGAAUAUUCCCAUCCUGGCAGGUCAGGUCGUGAUCAUAGAUGGUGUCAGAAGUUAUGCAUGCAAAUCAACACCAAAUUGGAAAGUAUAUAUACAGGAGAAUGACUGUAUAUGUCAUCCAAUAGUAUCGUACAAGCAAAAAAUAUGUUUUAUGUAAAAAGGCAUCAGGCAUUUAAACAAAAUUACACAUAUUCAAAGAGCUAGUGAAUUUCGAGAAAAAAACUUUAAGACAACUAACAGGGAAAAUAAUCACAGAGAGCAGUCAACUAUAGCAUACAGUAUUGGUUCAAAAUGACAGGAAAAAUAAAUUCAUCAGCCACUUGGAUUAGAACUAAUAUAGUUUGGCCGCAGUAAUUCCAUCAUGCCAAACUUUAAUAUGUUAGUAAAGGAAGUUUGAUCGAUUAUACGUGAUUUGCAUUAGCUUUUAAUACCAAGAUAAUAAGGGGCGGAAAGAUCAUCUGAUAACUAAAUUCCUUUGAGGGACAAGAGAAGAGAUGCACAAGGAUGACUACACUAAAGUGCACCAUUAAUUUCUGCCUAAACUUGUUGACUGAAUUUUACUAGAGGUUCUAAACAUUAUUAAAACUUUUUAAUCACUAAAUUGUACUACCACAUCUUGUCGUAACUACUAGUAUGCUUAUUAAGUCACUAGUUACUUUUUUGCCAAAACACCAAUUGAGCUCCUGGUCACUUUAUUAAAAGAAAUGGAAAAAAAAAGACUGGAGGUUACCUUCAUAACGGGCAUCUAGUGUUUUCUCCUCGAGAUGAUCCAGACGUUGCUGUAGGCGCAGGGGAAGCAACUUUAUACCAGGACAAGAUUCAAUCCUAAGAGCUCUAAGAUAUGAGUAGGCUUGAGGCCCAUUCGGUAAGGAUUCCAGGCUUCUGCAAUUCAAAAGGCGGAGGUCUUCCAGCGAUGGGAGCCUUCCUAAGCAAGAUUCGAGUGAUUUCAAAUUACUGCACUUCACAAUAUGUAAUGUUUGGAGGGCAUCCAGCUGUCCUGAUAGGGAUCGAAGAUUGUCGCAUUCCUCAAUCUCCAACGUCUUGAUUGAUCGAAGAUUGUCGCAUUCCUGCUGACCGAAUAUGAUGGACCCGAGCAUAUGGCAGUUGUCAAAACGUAAUCUCUUGAGAGAUGCCGGUAGGUUGGGAACCUCUACCAAAGAUGGACAAUUUUGUAAGCAUAGAAACUCUAGACAUGGCAGGAGUCCACUCCGUUCUGGAGCAGAUUGCUCAGAAGUUUUUUGUGUGCGCCCUGGAAUUCGUUUUCUGGCCAGUAGACAAGAGCGUCGCAAUAUGAAAUUGUUAAAUAUACGAGCUGUGCAAAACAUGUCCAUAGUGGCAGUGCACUUGAGUGAGAGAACAAAAGGUUGUAUCUCCAUAACGUCAUACGUGUCAGAGGGGAUUUAUGCUCCCAUUUCUCCUUGCCACGCACCAACUCACUCGAAUUUUGUUCAGCCACCGAUUCUCUUUCUGUGUUAUCGCCAAACAGCUGCAUGCUGGACAAUGAAGUGAUAUAUCUGCUAGCUGCGUGCAGGGACGAUAUUUGUUGGCUGGCUCCUUCUACUUCUAAUACACUUAGCUUCGGUGCUUCGGGUAGAGUAGUCAACUCUGGACAACUCCAAAUUCUUAGUUUCUCAAGCCGAUGAAACACUAGCUCUUCUCCUGGAUUUCCUUCGCCAUCCUCCCAUCGCUGAAACAUCUCAAGAUUUCGUAAUUCCAUUUCCUUCAAUGCUGGAAAUGCAGACCUGUACUCAGUCUUGACCCCUUCAAAUGUUUCUUUAAUAACUGAUGCUUUCGGCAAUGCAGCCAGACUUUUACACUCUUUGAUUAACAGCUUCUCAAGCAGAGGAAAUAUUGGCCUUUCUCCUCGCACCUCACUUGUGCCCCACCAUAUCUCAAAGUUUGGCAACUCAAAAAUUGCAAGCUUCUUCAGUUUCUGAAAUGUGAAGGCUGUAUCACUGCUGCACAAGUAACGUAUGUUUUCCAAUCCGCACAAGCAAAGAAUUUGCAGAGCUGGUAACUGCCAGAAUGCAGGAAGCUUCUCGAGUCUUUUGCAAUCGGAUAACUUAAGCUUCACUAUGCCUUGCAACUUAUUCAUCCAUGUUGGACAAGUGUCGAUACUGCAGGAAUAUAUCUUUAGAACCUUCAGUCCGUCAUGAGGCUCCAGACCUUCCAGUACCUCUUUAUCACUAUUCCGUGCCUCUUCAACAUCAGUCCAUCUUAAUGUCAACCUGGCCAGUCUGUUCUUAUAUCUGAGUUUUGCCGCAUAUGCAUCUGCUUCUUUCACAUUUUCUAGCUGUCUUAGCUCCAGCUGACCACCAAGGUCGUCUAACCACCCAAGUUCUCCCACCUUACUGCAACCGGAUCCAGCACCUGCUACAAAGCAUGUAAGGGUCUGUAGGGAAGUGAGGUGUCUAAUAUCAGCAGGCAUGGUCUUUAACCUUUUACAUCCGUGAGUGUAGAGGUGACGGAGGGCAGUCAUGUACUUCAUUCCCUUUGGAAGUCGUUCAAGACCAUCACAGUCAGAAAGGUUCAAUGUUUGCAGAUGAUAUAGGAUGCUUAUAUCUUCAGGAAGUGAUUUAAUAGCAUAGCUUCCUGAGAGAUCAAGAUACCUCAGGUGAUGUAGCCAUACGGGUUUUAGGAAUGAAGUUUGCUUGCUCCAUAACUCUAAACCUAGCAUGGUCCUUGAUGUUGAACCUCCCCUGAUCUUUAUCCUUAGUGCUCGCGCAGACCUGUAUUUUGACA